rnacentral:rRNA from 1 species
GAUGAACGCUAGCUACAGGCUUAACACAUGCAAGUCGAGGGGCAGCACAGUGUAGCAAUACACGGGUGGCGACCGGCGCACGGGUGCGUAACACGUAUCCAAUCUGCCCGUUACUCGGGGAUAGCCUUCUGAAAGGAAGAUUAAUACCCGAUGGCAUGUAUUUCCGGCAUCGGAGAUACAUUAAAGAUUUAUCGGUAACGGAUGAGGAUGCGUACGAUUAGCUAGUUGGCGGGGUAACGGCCCACCAAGGCGACGAUCGUUAGGGGUUCUGAGAGGAAGGUCCCCCACACUGGAACUGAGACACGGUCCAGACUCCUACGGGAGGCAGCAGUGAGGAAUAUUGGUCAAUGGUCGAGAGACUGAACCAGCCAAGUAGCGUGAAGGAUGACUGCCCUAUGGGUUGUAAACUUCUUUUGUUUGGGAAUAAAGUCAGGUACGUGUACCUGUUUGUAUGUACCAUUCGAAUAAGCAUCGGCUAAUUCCGUGCCAGCAGCCGCGGUAAGAC